rnacentral:tRNA from 1 species
UGGCUCAGAGGAUAAAGCAUCUGCCUGCAAUGCAGGAGACCUGGGUUCAAUCCCGG